GGUUUGAUUCUGGCUCAUGAUUGAACGCUGGCGAUGCUUUACAUGUAAGUCGAACGGCAGCACGGCCUUCGGUCUGGUGGCGAGUGGCGAACGGGUGAGUAAUGUAUCGGAACGUGCCUAGUAGUAGCAAUGGGGAUAACUACGCGAAAGUAGCUAAUACCGCACAGCGCCGCCCUUCUUCGAAAGCGGGGACCUUCUCGGGCCUCGCACUAUUAGAGCGGCCGCGAUUUUUACUGAUUAUAUUAGUUGGUGGGGUAACGGCUCACAAGGCGACGAUCCGUAGCUGGUUAAGAGGACGACCAGCCACACUGAGACUGAGACGGCCCAGACUCCUACGGGAGGCAGCAGUGGGGAAUUUUGACAAUGGGGAAACCCUGAUCCAGCCAUCCCGCGUGUGCGAUGAUGGUUUCGGGUUGUAAAGCACUUUUGCAGGAAAGAAACGGCACGGGAUAAUACCCCGUGCAACUGACGGUACCUGCAGAAUGGGGCAGCACCGCUAAUCACGUGCGCCAGCAGCCGCGGUAAUACGUAGGGUGCAAGCGUUAUCGGAAUUACUGGCGUAAAGCGUGCGCAGGUUCGGAAAGAAAGAUGUGAAAUCCCAGAGAUUAACUUGAACCAGACGCAGCCUCGGCCGACAGAGUGUGUCAGGGGAGGGAGGUGGAAUUCCCGCGUAGCGCAGUGAAUGCGUAGAUAUGCGGAGGAACACCGAUGGCGAAGGCAGCCUCUGGGAUAACACUGACGCUCAUGCACGAAAGCGUGGGGAGCAAACAGGACAGAUACUCCUGGUAGUCCACGCCCCCAACGAUGUCAACUAGCUGUUGGGGCCUUCUGGCCUGGUAGCGCAGUUAACGCGGUGAAGUUGACCGCCUGGGGAGUACGGUCGCAAGAUUAAAACUCAAAGGAAUUGACGGGGACCCGCACAAGCGGUGGAUGAUGUGGAUUGACCUGAUGCAACGCGAAAAACCUUACCUACCCUUGACAUGUCUGAAUCCCGGAAGGAGACGGGGAGUGCUCGCGGAUGAACCGAAUACAAAAGCGUAUGGCUGUCGUCACCAGGUCGAGAUGGGUUAAGUCCCGGCAACGAGCGCAACCCUUGGUUGGCUAGUUGCUACGAAAGGGCACUCUAAUGAGACUGCCGGUGACAAACCGAGGAAGGUGGGGGAUGAGACGUCAAGUCCUCAUGCACCUUUAGUGGUAGGGCUUCACAUCACGUUGCGCAAUGGUCGGGACAGAGGGUCGCCAACCCGCGAGGGGAGCCAAUCCCAGAAACCCGAUCGUAGUCCGACUGCAGUCUGCAACUCGAUCAGUGAAGUCGAAUCGCUAGUAAUCGGAUCAGCAUGCUGCGUGAGAAUACGUUCCCGUGGGUCUUAGCACCGCCCGUCACACCAUGGGAGUGGGUUUACCCAGAAGUAGUUAGCCUAACCGUAAGGAGGGCGAUUACCAUGGUAGGAUUCAUGACUAAAGAAGUCUAAUGAAGCGUA
rnacentral:rRNA from 1 species